rnacentral:rRNA from 1 species
GGAAUAUUGGGCAAUGGGGGCAACCCUGACCCAGCCAUGCCGCGUGAAGGAUGACUGCCCUCUGGGUUGUAAACUUCUUUAGAAUGGGAAGAAAAGCUAGGAUUUAUCCUAGUCUGACGGUACCAUUAAAAUAAGCACCGGCUAACUCCGUGC